rnacentral:rRNA from 1 species
GACGAACGCUGGCGGCGUGCUUAACACAUGCAAGUCGAACGGAAAGGCCCUGCUUUUGUGGGGUGCUCGAGUGGCGAACGGGUGAGUAACACGUGAGUAACCUGCCCUUGACUUUGGGAUAACUUCAGGAAACUGGGGCUAAUACCAUAUCGGAUCUCCUGCUGCAUUGUGGGGGUUGGAAAGUUUCGGCGGUUGGGGAUGGACUCGCGGCUUAUCAGCUUGUUGGUGGGGUAGUUGCUUACCAAGGCUUUGAACGGUAGCCGGCCUGAGAGGGUGACCGGCCACAUUGGGACUGCGAGACGGAGCAGACGCGUACGGGAGGCAGCAGUGGGGAAUAUUGCACAAUGGGCGGAAGCCUGAGGCAGCAACGCCGCGUGCGGGAUGACGGCCUUCGGGUUGUAAACCGCUUUCGCCUGUGACGAAGCGGGAGUGACGGUAAUGGGUAAAGAAGCACCGGCUAACUACGUG